UUCAGCUUCAGGUGGGUGCGGCCAUGACACUGUCAGAAACGAGAUCGAGGCCCCCCUCACAGUCGCGGCCACCGCCGAUACCACGCGCUAGCUCGCCGCGCCGCCGCCUGCUUCCGACUCGCGUCCGCCAUCGCCAACCUAGAAGCUAGCUAGAGGCUUACGAGGUGUUCUCGUGAUCGAGGGCCGUUCGAUCGCACUGGAUUGGGAGGGAGGGGGACGGCGUCCUGCAGUUUUUCGACAGAAUGCGUGGCAAGGGAUCACACAGAACUCAGGGAGACGAUGCAAAUUCUGCGAGGCGGACAUCCAGCUGUGGAUACUCUCAAAACGAACGGCAAACUGAGGGCUGGCACAAAGGACAAAAGACACAUAUUGCUGGCAGCUAGCUGCUUCAGGAUGUGGUGCUGGUGGAUUUGCCAAGGCAGGGGGCGUGGAUAUCAGUGGUGGAAUUCGUCAUAUCCUUGCUUCUUGCGUAAUUAAGGUCGUCAAUACAGGUCGUAGAGAGAAGGUUGUUUGGUCUCUGGGAGAUAGUAGUAUCUGAGUAUUGCAGUUGCCGUCUUUGGUGAGGAUUAUUAGGAUUAGCCGUGAGUCCGGAGGUUUUGUUGUAGGUGACAAACCUGGAGCCUAGGAUUUUCAGUUGGAUGAGAACAUUCUAUAUCUUACGUGGGUUCUCAUUUGCAUGGAUUUUUUUUAUUGUUUGCUAACUUUUUAAAUUUUAAUUUUACAAAAAACUCUUCUGAAACCUAUUUUUAGUUCUAAUUCUAAAUCUUUUUGCCAGGCUAGUCUUGGUGGCAUGGCAAAAUAACGUUGCCACGCACACCCACGGCGGACAUGUCAGUGUUGUUUUACCAUGCCAACCUAGAUGGCGUGGUAAAACCUUUGCCACGCGGUGGUGUGGCCAUAUAAUGGUUCCAUGUCAAGGGAUUAGUGUGGCAAUAAUGUUUUGCUCGACAUUAGUGUAGUCAGAUGGUUUAGAAUUGAAAAUAAAAUUUGAGAGUAUAUUUACAAAAAUUUAAGUAGAAAAGGUUAAAAAAAAUAAAAAUAUCUUCGCGAAAUGAUGUACAACAAAUAUAUUUGUUGUUUCAAGUAAAAUGUACGGUCUAGGACAAAUUGCGGAGUGGCUGCGAUUUAGUACUACAGUAUGAGAAUAACUGUAGAUACACAACUUGGCUUGUGUUGCAAAACAAAUUACAAAGCAAAAUGUUAGGAUUUUUUUUACAAUCUAUUUACU